rnacentral:rRNA from 1 species
ACCUGACGACGCAACGCCGCGUGGAGGAUGAAGACCUUCGGGUCGUAAACUCCUUUCGACCGAGAUGAAUUCCCGCCGACCUAACACGUCGGCGGGGUGACAGUAUCGAGGGAAGCAGCCCCGGCUAACUCCGUGCCAGCAGCCGCGGUAAUACGGGGGGGGCAAGCGUUGUUCGGAAUUACUGGGCGUAAAGGGUUCGUAGGUGGCCGGCUAAGUCAGACGUGAAAUCCCUCAGCUUAACUGGGGAACUGCGUCUGAGACUGGUCGGCUCGAGGGCAGGAGAGGAACGCGGAAUUCCAGGUGUAGCGGUGAAAUGCGUAGAUAUCUGGAGGAACACCGGUGGCGAAGGCGGCGUUCUGGACUGCAUCUGACACUGAGGAACGAAAGCCAGGGGAGCAAACGGGAUUAGAUACCCCGGUAGUCCUGGCCCUAAACGAUGAAUGCUUGGUGUGGCGGGUAUCGAUCCCUGCCGUGCCGCAGUUAACGCGUUAAGCAUUCCGCCUGGGGAGUACGGUCGCAAGGCUG